GACGAACGCUGGCGGCGUGCUUAACACAUGCAAGUCGAACGGAAAGGCCCUGCUUUUGUUGGUUGCUCGAGUGGCGAACGGGUGAGUAACACGUGAGUAACCUGUCCUUGACUUUGGGAUAACUUCAGGAAACGGGGGCUAAGACCGGGUAUGAGCUCCUGCUGCAUGGGGGGGGUUGGAAAGUUUCGGCGUUUGGGGAUGGACUCGCGGCUUAUCAGCUUGUUGGUGGGGGAGUUGCUUACCAAGGCUUUGAGGGGUAGCCGGCCUGAGCGGGUGCCCGGCAACAUUGGACCUGGGAACGGGCCAGGAGUCCUCCGGGAGGAAGAAGGGGGGAAUAUUGCCCAAUGGGCGGAAGCCUGAUGAAGAAACGCGGGGUGCGGGAUAACGGCCUCCGGGUUGUAACCCGCUUCAGCAUGUGACGAAGCGUGGGUGACGGUACUGGGUAAAGAAGCACCGGCUAACUACGUG
rnacentral:rRNA from 1 species